CUGUGACUUCCACUUCCAAGGACUGGGGCAGGCCUCUGUACACAGUGUGGUCUCCUCUCAAUAAAGACUGCUGACUGAGGGCCAGGUGGCUGACAGGCUGGCCCCAGCUGCAUUGUUUUCAUCUGUACACCAAAGAUAACGCUGUCCAUUUCGUUGAUUUCUUGGGAGCAUCCAUCACAUGGAAAGUACCUAGACCAUCAGUUGCCUGUGAUCAGCUUCAGUCUGAAAAUUGCAAAUGGAAAAUUGUGGAAAUAAACAACUUGCUGACCUACUCAGGAAUGGUACUACUAGAGUGGGCUGAGCCCUCCUACAUCAAUCAAAAAUUAAGAAAAUGCCCCACAAAUGUGGAGUGCAAGAAGCCCUGAGUGAAUUGUAUUGUUGACAAGAACCAGUGCCUCUAGACCUAUGAGAAUGUCAAAGCCUUCUCCACAUAAUUCAGGCUCAGAAUUUGGAAAGCAUUCCUCUGGUCCCGGUGCAAAUGCUGACAAUGUAUGUGAGUACAAGUGUUUAUGAACUAUUGUCCAGUGUGCACAAAAACCAACAACUGCAGCUUGUUCCUCCCAGAUGUCUACAGAGACUGCUCACCACAGGGACCACCUACCAGGACUAGCUAGAUCUCCCCCACCAUACUGAGCAAGGUUCCCAGUUGCUCCCACUCCAUCAGAGUGCACACAGCCUAGCUGAUCCCACUUUUCUGUACUUGUGUCUGUACUUUCCUUGAUUCCCUCACUGGCCCCAGUCAGGUCAAGUCUAAAGCUGCAGCUAUAUCCACUGCCCAAGCUGUUAUUGUUUUGUUUAAAAAGAAGAAAAGAGAAAU